rnacentral:rRNA from 1 species
CGCAUACAAAGAGAAGCGACCUCGCGAGAGCAAGCGGACCUCAUAAAGUGCGUCGUAGUCCGGAUUGGAGUCUGCAACUCGACUCCAUGAAGUCGGAAUCGCUAGUAAUCGUGGAUCAGAAUGCCACGGUGAAUACGUUCCCGGGCCUUGUACACACCGCCCGUCACACCAUGGGAGUGGGUUGCAAAAGAAGUAGGUAGCUUAACCUUCGGGAGGGCGCUUACCACUUUGUGAUUCAUGACUGGGGUGAAGUCGUAACAAGGUAACCGUAGGGGAACCUGCGGUUGGAUCACCUCCUUA